AACGAACGCUGGCGGCAGGCUUAACACAUGCAAGUCGAACGUGAAGCAGGAGCUUGCUCCUGUGGAAAGUGGCAGACGGGUGAGUAACGCGUGGGAAUUUACCCAGUGGUUCGGAAUAACGCAGGGAAACUUGUGCUAAUACCGGAUACGCCCUUCGGGGGAAAGAUUUAUCGCCAUUGGAUGAGCCCGCGUCGGAUUAGCUUGUUGGUGAGGUAAUGGCUCACCAAGGCGACGAUCCGUAGCUGGUCUGAGAGGAUGAUCAGCCACACUGGGACUGAGACACGGCCCAGACUCCUACGGGAGGCAGCAGUGGGGAAUAUUGCGCAAUGGGGGAAACCCUGACGCAGCCAUGCCGCGUGAGUGAAGAAGGCCUUAGGGUUGUAAAACUCUUUCAGUGGUGAAGAUAAUGACGGUAGCCACAGAAGAAGCCCCGGCCAACUCCGUGCCAGCAGCCGCGGUAAUACGGAGGGGGCUAGCGUUGUUCGGAAUUACUGGGCGUAAAGCGCGCGUAGGCGGGCUGGUUAGUUGGGGGUGAAAUCCCGAGGCUCAACCUCGGAACUGCCCUCAAUACUGCCAGUCUUGAGUUCGAGAGAGGUAAGUGGAAUUCCUAGU
rnacentral:rRNA from 1 species